GAUGAACGCUGGCGGCGUGCCUAAUACAUGCAAGUCGAGCGAACGGACGAGAAGCUUGCUUCUCUGAUGUUAGCGGCGGACGGGUGAGUAACACGUGGAUAACCUACCUAUAAGACUGGGAUAACUUCGGGAAACCGGAGCUAAUACCGGAUGAUAUUUUGAACCGCAUGGUUCAAAAGUGAAAGACGGUCUUGCUGUCACUUAUAGAUGGAUCCGCGCUGCAUUAGCUAGUUGGUAAGGUAACGGCUUACCAAGGCAACGAUGCAUAGCCGACCUGAGAGGGUGAUCCGCCAACAUGGAACUGGGACAAGGUCCAGACCCCUACGGGAGGCAGCAGUAGGGAAUCUUCCGCAAUGGGCGAAAGCCUGACGGAGCAACGCCGCGUGAGUGAUGAAGGUCUUCGGAUCGUAAAACUCUGUUAUUAGGGAAGAACAUAUGUGUAAGUAACUGUGCACAUCUUGACGGUACCUAAUCAGAAAGCCACGGCUAACUACGUG
rnacentral:rRNA from 1 species